CAUAUCUCCGCGCAGCGAUUUUGAGCAAAUUAUGCCGAUACACCAUCAAAAAAUACAAAAAAAAAACAAAAAAACAAAACAUAAGGAACAAAUAAAUUUGCAGUGGCUACGCAGCGCCCGACGACAUGUUCUGACUGAUUUUCUGUCCCUCUCGCACAUACUCUUUAUCUUCAGCUGGUUACCUAACUGAAAACAAAAGGUGAAGCGGAGAUUGAAAUAAAUUAUGACUCUGUCAAACGCACUUUGCAAAGAAAAAGACAGCCUUUCUUGCCAAAGCCUCCAUCUUCUGCAGAGAAUGUUCUGGAAGCUUUUCAAGACGAAAAUAUUAUGAACCGUUUUGGAAUAGCCAAGGGAAAUACUGCAAAUCAGUUCUAUAAAAAAGUGUACGCAUCGAGCUCGUUUGCUUAUUGCAUAUUUUCAUCAGACAAGGUAAUCACCUAGAUGCAAGCCAACAUUCCGGAGCAUAAUAGGCAUUAUUUAAUUGAUGCUACAUUUAAAGUGUGCCCUUUUGGAGAUUUUAAGCAACUUUUAAUAAUUUAUAUUAAAUAUUUGCAGAAGAAAGCAAAAUUGUCGAAGCAUUUAACCUUCUAAAAGGCGAAGCAAUAAACUUAAAUAAGAAGCUGUUUUCUCCAUUUUUAAAAUAUUUUAAUAGACAGUGGCUUAAAAAGGAGGGACCAAAAAGCAUAUCCGUGUUUAAGAGGUCAACUAGAACCACGAGCUCAGUAGAAGCUUAUAAUUUGAAUUUGGGAAAUAAAAUUCGAGCAAAUGGGCACUUUUGUAAAUUUGUUCAAUGUCUUAUUGAUGCAGAAAAUGAAAAAAGUCGCGAGUUUGCUUUACUCUUUCAAAAUGGUGGUAAUGGAAAUCAGACACAGAAGAAGAAAUUACGUGAUCGCUCAAAAAAAAUAAUGGACGCAAUGGAUCUUUUUGAAAGAGGUGAAAUAGAUAUACAGGGAUUUCUGACAUGCACUGUUUCCUUAGCUGACCGCUUUUCAAAGCAGGACUUCUUUGAAGGGGUGGACAAUGAAAGCAAUUUAACUGGAAUGUCUUCUGAUAUGAAAUCUUCCACAUCGUCACUUUCAUCGAAUGCUUCUCAUUCAAGUCAGUCAUCUGAUAAAUCAUUGGUUCAAAUGAAUCCAUGCAAUGUGUGCCUAUGUAACCCAAAGUCUGUGUUGUUGCGCCCGUGCAAUCACGUAAACAUUUGUGGUACAUGUUGGGAUCAAAUUGUGGCCCACAACCAAGCAAAAAACGACUUGGAAGAAAAUGAAAAUAUAAAGCCAAAAUGUCCAAGUUGCAACCGAGAAGUCGAAGAGGCCAUACGCAAUGUUUUUAUUUACAAUUAAUUUGUGUAAGUUAAGAACGACAAAAUUUAAGAAAACUUCUAUUAUGAUUUCUGUGUAUUUGGACUAUUGCACAUUUUUUAAUUUCAAUAAAAUCAUGUUAUAAAAUGAAAUGCUGUCAAAAAAAUAUAAGUGUAUUUUACAUGCGAAA